rnacentral:rRNA from 1 species
UACCAGCACCCCGAGUGGUCGGGACGAUUAUUGGGCCUAAAGCAUCCGUAGCUUGUCCUGCAAGUCUUCCGUUAAAUCCACCUGCUCAACAGAUGGGCCGCGGGGGAUACUACAGGGCUAGGAGGCGGGAGAGGCAAACGGUACUCAGUGGGUAGGGGUAAAAUCCGUUGAUCCAUUGAAGACCACCAGUGGCGAAGGCGGCUUGCCAGAAUGCGCUCGACGGUGAGGGAUGAAAGCUGGGGGAGCAAACCGG